rnacentral:rRNA from 1 species
UACGAAGGGGGCUAGCGUUGCUCGGAAUUACUGGGCGUAAAGGGCGCGUAGGCGGAUAGUUUAGUCAGAGGUGAAAGCCCAGGGCUCAACCUUGGAACUGCCUUUGAUACUGGCUAUCUUGAGUUCGGGGAGAGGUGAGUGGAACUGCGAGUGUAGAGGUGAAAUUCGUAGAUAUUCGCAAGAACACCAGUGGCGAAGGCGGCUCACUGGCCCGAUACUGACGCUGAGGCACGAAAGCGUGGGGAGCAAACAGGG